GCUGAUCAGAGACGGGAGCCGCCGGCGGCGGCACCGGCGCCGGGACGGGCUGGGCUGGUCCGGACCGGGCCCAGCGGGCGCUGGACCGGGCCGAGCCCCUCAGGUGCUGUCCCAGCGCCCCACUCCUGGCUAACCAGCACCAGUUCUUCAGUGGCAAGCUUUAUGUCCUUCUCUAGUAGCUAAAGCUGCCAGUUGAAGAACUGUUGAAUGUAGCCACACUCAGCACCGGGACCUUGGAUGCUGGCCGGAUCCAAGCCCUCGCCAACCGGGAUGAGCAGCGUUUGAAGGCUGAGGAUGAGCGUAACGGGGAUGAAGGCAUCUCCAUCAGAGGAGGGGUGCCAGCAGGGUGGCACUGACCUGAGGGCUGCCCAGAGAGGACCAAAAGAGGCAUUAAACUUUAUGUGUUCCUCAACA